AUUGAACGCUGGCGGAAUGCUUUACACAUGCAAGUCGAACGGUAGAGGGGGCAACCCCUCGAGAGUGGCGAACGGGUGAGUAAUAUAUCGGAACGUGCCCAGUCGUGGGGGAUAACGUAGCGAAAGUUACGCUAAUACCGCAUACGAUCUACGGAUGCAAGCGGGGGAUCGCAAGACCUCGCGCGAUUGGAGCGGCCGAUAUCAGAUUAGGUAGUUGGUGGGGUAAAGGCUCACCAAGCCAACGAUCUGUAGCUGGUCUGAGAGGACGACCAGCCACACUGGAACUGAGACACGGUCCAGACUCCUACGGGAGGCAGCAGUGGGGAAUUUUGGACAAUGGGCGAAAGCCUGAUCCAGCAAUGCCGCGUGUGUGAAGAAGGCCUUCGGGUUGUAAAGCACUUUUGUCCGGAAAGAAAUGGCUCUGGUUAAUACCUGGGGUCGAUGACGGUACCGGAAGAAUAAGGACCGGCUAACUACGUGCCAGCAGCCGCCGUAA
rnacentral:rRNA from 1 species